rnacentral:rRNA from 1 species
CCUACGGGAGGCAGCAGUGGGGAAUAUUGGACAAUGGGGGAGACCCUGAUGCAGCAACGCCGCGUGAAGGAAGACGGUCCUAGGAUUGUUAACUUCUGUUCUUAGUGAAGCAUAAUGACGGUAGCUAAGGAGCAAGCCACGGCUAACUACGUGCCAGCAGCCGCGGUAAUACGUAGGGGGCAAGCGUUGUCCGGAAUUACUGGGUGUAAAGGGAGCUCAGGGGGGAAGCCAAGUCGGCUGUGAAAACUACGGGCUUAACCUGUAGACUGCAGUUGAAACUGGUUUUCUUGAGUGAAGUAGAGGUAGGCGGAAUUCCGAGUGUAGCGGUGAAAUGCGUAGAUAUUCGGAGGAACACCGGUGGCGAAGGCGGCCAACCGGGCUUUAACUGACGCUGAGGCUCGAAAGUGUGGGGAGCAAACAGGAUUAGAUACCCCUGUAGUC